rnacentral:rRNA from 1 species
CCUACGGGAGGCAGCAGUGGGGAAUAUUGCACAAUGGGGGGAACCCUGAUGCAGCGACGCCGCGUGAGUGAAGAAGUAUUUCGGUAUGUAAAGCUCUAUCAGCAGGGAAGAAAAUGACGGUACCUGACUAAGAAGCCCCGGCUAACUACGGGCCAGCAGCCGCGGUAUUACGUAGGGGGCAAGCGUUAUCCGGAUUUACUGGGUGUAAAGGGAGCGUAGACGGUUAUGCAAGUCUGAAGUGAAAGCCCAGGGCUCAACCAUGGGACUGCUUUGGAAACUGUAAAACUGGAGUGCAGGAGAGGUAAGCGGAAUUCCUAGUGUAGCGGUGAAAUGCGUAGAUAUUAGGAGGAACACCAGUGGCGAAGGCGGCUUACUGGACUGUAACUGACGUUGAGGCUCGAAGGCGUGGGGAGCAAACAGGAUUAGAUACCCCAGUAGUC